rnacentral:tRNA from 1 species
UUCGUUGUCGUGCAGCAGUUAGGAUAUCUGGCUUUCACCUAGGAGACUCGGGUUCAAUUCCCAACAACGGAA